UACGUAGGGCGCAAGCGUUGUCCGGAAUUAUUGGGCGUAAAGAGCUCGUAGGCGGUUUGUCGCGUCUGCUGUGAAAACUCGAGGCUCAACCUCGGGCUUGCAGUGGGUACGGGCAGACUAGAGUGUGGUAGGGGAGACUGGAAUUCCUGGUGUAGCGGUGAAAUGCGCAGAUAUCAGGAGGAACACCGAUGGCGAAGGCAGGUCUCUGGGCCACUACUGACGCUGAGAAGCGAAAGCAUGGGGAGCGAACAGG
rnacentral:rRNA from 1 species